rnacentral:rRNA from 1 species
ACUCGUAGACUCCUACGGGAGGCAGCAGUGGGGAAUAUUGCACAAUGGGCGCAAGCCUGAUACAGCCAUGCCGCGUGUGUGAAGAAGGCCUUCGGGUUGUAAAGCACUUUCAGUUGUGAGGAAGGUGGUGUCGUUAAUAGCAUACUCAUUUGACGUUAGCUGCAGAAGAAGCACCGGCUAACUCCGUGCCAGCAGCCGCGGUAAUACGGAGGGUGCGAGCGUUAAUCGGAAUUACUGGGCGUAAAGCGCAUGCAGGUGGUUUGUUAAGUCAGAUGUGAAAGCCCGGGGCUCAACCUCGGAAUUGCAUUUGAAACUGGCAAACUAGAGUACUGUAGAGGGGGGUAGAAUUUCAGGUGUAGCGGUGAAAUGCGUAGAGAUCUGAAGGAAUACCGGUGGCGAAGGCGGCCCCCUGGACAGAUACUGACACUCAGAUGCGAAAGCGUGGGGAGCAAACAGGAUUAGAUACCCUGGUAG